rnacentral:rRNA from 1 species
UACGAAGGGGGCUAGCGUUGCUCGGAAUCACUGGGCGUAAAGGGUGCGUAGGCGGGUCUUUAAGUCAGGGUGAAAUCCUGGAGCUCAACUCCAGAACUGCCUUUGAUACUGGCGAUCUUGAGUCCGGGAGAGGUGAGUGGAACUGCGAGUGGUAGAGGUGAAAUUCGUAGAUAUUCGCAAGAACACCAGUGGCGAAGGCGGCUACUGGUCCGGUUCUGACGCUGAGGCUGACGAAGCGUGGGAGCAACA